AUGAACGCUGGCGGCGUGCCUAAUACAUGCAAGUCGAGCGAACGGACGAGAAGCUUGCUUUUCUGAUGUUAGCGGCGGACGGGUGAGUAACACGUGGAUAACCUACCUAUAAGACUGGGAUAACUUCGGGAAACCGGAGCUAAUACCGGAUAAUAUUUUGAACCGCAUGGUUCAAAAGUGAAAGACGGUCUUGCUGUCACUUAUAGAUGGAUCCGCGCUGCAUUAGCUAGUUGGUAAGGUAACGGCUUACCAAGGCAACGAUGCAUAGCCGACCUGAGAGGGUGAUCGGCCACACUGGAACUGAGACACGGUCCAGACUCCUACGGGAGGCAGCAGUAGGGAAUCUUCCGCAAUGGGCGAAAGCCUGACGGAGCAACGCCGCGUGAGUGAUGAAGGUCUUCGGAUCGUAAAACUCUGUUAUUAGGGAAGAACAUAUGUGUAAGUAACUGUACACAUCUUGACGGUACCUAAUCAGAAAGCCACGGCUAACUACGUG
rnacentral:rRNA from 1 species